rnacentral:rRNA from 1 species
CCUACGGGAGGCUGCAGUGGGGAAUAUUGGUAAUCUGCGAAAGCGGGAACCAGCAACGCCGCGUGUGCGAUGAAGGCCUUCGGGUUGUAAAGCACUUUUUGAGGGGAUGAGGAAGGACAGUACCCUCAGAAUAAGCCUCGGCUAACUACGUGCCAGCAGCCGCGGUAACACGUAGGAGGCGAGCGUUAUUCGGAUUUACUGGGUGUAAAGCGCGUGCAGGCGGUUCGAAAAGUUGGAUGUGAAAGCUCCUGGCUUAACUGGGAGAGGUCGUUCAAUACUAUCGGACUAGAGGAUGAGAGAGGGAGGUGGAAUUCCGAGUGUAGUGGUGGAAUGCGUAGAUAUUCGGAGGAACACCAGUGGCGAAAGCGGCCUCCUGGCUCAUAACUGACGCUCAGACGCGAAAGCUAGGGUAGCAAACGGGAUUAGAUACCCCGGUAGUC